UCGAGCGGCGACGGCGGCGACGGUCGAGCUUGCAGGGGCUGGGGGCAGAUCUAGAGGCAGGGGUCGCCGGUGAAGACGAGGAAGGCGGAGCAUGGGCGGAUCCAUGGCAUCCGCAGCUCCUGGGCACAAAGGAGACAGGGAGGCCAGGGAGAGAAGAAGGAAGAAAGGAGGGGUUGUGCGGCGACCUAGCGAGGAGCUCGCCGGAGCUGGGCGAAGGCGGACUGGCGUGGGAGACGGAGGGGUCCGGCGCAGUCCUUGCAGGUGGAGGCAAGCGUCAAAGCAGAGGACGAGAGGAUCCCCGGUCUAAUUGUGGCAUGCACUCAGCUUCCCCCAUCCAUCCCCUCCUACCCAUCCGGCCCUUCCUCGAUGGCCUGCAUGCGAUGAGCCCUUACGCGGGGUAAGAAGGGGGAUCGCGCGAGGUGGAGCACUCCAGCCCCCUCCUAGCCCUACCACGGUGAGGCCUCCUUCCCCUCUCUGCCUGCCUGAGCCAUAGGCUGGCGGCGCUGAGGUCGAUCUGCUCAUGCACACAUUGUUGCUGUGACAUGAUGACAGCCACGACCCACUUUUUCUUCCAGUUCCUUGUUUUUGUGGUGGAUGCAUCCAUGAUUAUUUGUUUCAACUAUUGAUUUUCAGUUUAGUCAAUCAAACCCAUUCUGAUGAUGCUCUUUUACUUGUACAAAUAAACUAUUGUUCACUAAACUGAGCAGCUAGCUACUGGUGUCUCAAAGAUUAAGCGCAGGUUGGUACUUAUGGUUAGGCCUGCCUCAAGUAGAGGAAGAAGAGGAGGCCUGAAAGAGAGAGGCCGCAAGGUAGAAGCCUUUUGAUUAGGAGGAAGUCCAGCAAGUUGGACGAACUGCUGAUAAAGAGAUAAUUCUAUUCUGAAUUUUUAUCUGAAAAGCAAGAUUGGAUCACGGGUGUAUGUUGGCUAUGUCUCUCAUGGUGUGUGGAACCAGUUAUUGGUUAAUUUCAUCUUGUUUGUUGACAUUGAUGGUGUUGUCCAUUGGUUUAACAGAAAAUUGUUGAAGCUAAAGAUGAAGAGGAACUCGUGGAAGAGGAAAAGAAAUGACAUGGUAGAAACUCAUUCACACAUAUCAGGGUCAUAGUGGGAGGAUUGAUCUGCUUGAUUCGCUCCUGAUGGUUGGUGGAUUGUUUCUGGUAGGGCUAAGAGUUCUGUGAAGAUGGCAGGAUGAGCAGCAGCAUGCCGCUGGUAAGACAGGGCGUGUUGGCAUACGCGAAGAAGCCAUGCAUGAAUCUUCAUGGCGGAUGCUUGCUGGCCGUAGUGGCAGCACCAAUUCAAGCUGGGAGGCGGGAAGCUGGAGUAGCAGGAACGAUUGGUCGUCCAUUAGGCAUGAAUGCAACUCCACUAUACUCCCUUUUCUUUCCGUAACCAAUUCUUUGGAGCAGACAUGUGGGUACAGUUACAUAGCCUGAAGAUUGUUUGCUUUUUUUGGUUAGUUUAGAUUUAGAUUUCUCAGAUAUUCACUAUUUGAUCAAUCGAUCCAUGUAGAUCUCA